rnacentral:rRNA from 1 species
UGGGGAAUAUUGGACAAUGGGGGCAACCCUGAUCCAGCAAUGCCGCGUGAGUGAUGAAGGCCUUAGGGUUGUAAAGCUCUUUCGCCCACGACGAUGAUGACGGUAGUGGGAGAAGAAGCCCCGGCUAACUUCGUGCCAGCAGCCGCGGUAAUACGAAGGGGGCGAGCGUUGUUCGGAAUUACUGGGCGUAAAGGGCGCGUAGGCGGCCCUUGAAGUCAGGCGUGAAAGCCCCGGGCUCAACCUGGGAAUUGCGUUUGAUACUCGAGGGCUAGAGUUCGGGAGAGGAGAGUGGAAUUCCCAGUGUAGAGGUGAAAUUCGUAGAUAUUGGGAAGAACACCGGUGGCGAAGGCGGCUCUCUGGACCGAUACUGACGCUGAGGCGCGAAAGCGUGGGGAGCAAACAGGAUUAGAUACCCGCGUAGUCC